rnacentral:rRNA from 1 species
GAUGAACGCUGGCGGCGUGCUUAACACAUGCAAGUCGAACGGUAAAUAUUUCAUUGAUGCUUCGGUGGUUUUGAUUUAUUUCUAGUGGCGGACUGGUGAGUAACCCGUGGGUAACCUGCCUUAUACAGGGGGAUAACAGUCAGAAAUGGCUGCUAAUACCGCAUAAGCGCACAGAGCUGCAUGGCUCAGUGUGCAAAACUCCGGUGGGAUAAGAUGGACGCGCGUUGGAUUAGUUAGUUGGUGGGGUAACGGCCCACCAAGGCGACGAUACAUAGCCGGCAUGAGAGGGUGAGCGGAGACAUUUGGGCUGAGACACGGCCGAGACUCUUACGGGAGGCAGCAGAGGGGAAUAUUGCAAAAUGGGGGAAACGCUGAUGGAGCGACGGCGCGUAAAGGAAGAAGUAGCUCGGGAUGGAAACUUAUAUCAGCAGGGAAGAUAGUGACGGUACCUGAAGAAGAAGCCCCGGCUAACUACGUG